rnacentral:rRNA from 1 species
UACGUAGGGUGCGAGCGUUAAUCGGAAUUACUGGGCGUAAAGCGUGCGCAGGCGGUGAUGUAAGACAGAUGUGAAAUCCCCGGGCUCAACCUGGGAAUUGCAUUUGUGACUGCACGGCUAGAGUGUGUCAGAGGGGGGUAGAAUUCCACGUGUAGCAGUGAAAUGCGUAGAGAUGUGGAGGAAUACCGAUGGCGAAGGCAGCCCCCUGGGAUAACACUGACGCUCAUGCACGAAAGCGUGGGGAGCAAACAGG